rnacentral:lncRNA from 1 species
UUUCUCUCUCUUCAAUUUCCCAGCCGCUCAUAAAAGGGCUCUGCAAACCCUAAAGAAGAAUUUCUCCCGGAGAAGACGGCCGAAGGCGACGGCUCACGGCGGAGCCUCCCUUCUUCUCCGGCCACUCUAACCAAAACAACACUUAACCCUCUAAAUACAACCUUCCGAGUUCGAAUCCGAACUCUAAAAUCCCUAAACCAAACUCAAACUUUCUAGAUCGGAGCGAAAUCUAACCGAUCUAAAACUCCUCCAAUCCCUAAACCCUAGUUUCAAAAAUCAAGGCUUUCGCAUGUUACGAUUCAAGGAAAAUAACGGGGAUUUGUUCCACUUACCACGGCGAAGGAGGCGGAAAGAUGAUUUCAGGCGAAGAAGGAGCGCUUUUGGUUCGAUUUUGUCGUCGGCAAUCCGUCACGGUUUUAGAUGAGCUUCUCCUCAAUAUUUCUUUUCGUCUUCUUCUUCUUUGUCUGUUUUUGUUUCUGAUGAUUAUGGAUUGCAAAGCUAUUUUAAUUUCUUUGUUAUUAUUUGCUAGUUUUCUGAAUACUAUGUGUUUGGUGUUCUUAACGAAAAUAUCUUGGAUUACUCUCUGGUAUUUCAAGAAUGUUUUUCUUUGUUUGGUUCUGGGUUUGAAAAAAUCUCUUUGUUCUCUUUCUCUUGCUGUUAACUUAUAUCUGAUAAAACUGCUCAAAUGAUGAACUUUUUGAGUCUUAUAAAAACUCUUUUCAGUUAUGCCUUUUUCUUCCAGAUUAUGUGGGAUCCGUUUUUUUGUAGAUUUGUUACUGUUUUAAACCAUUUUUGAAAUGCUUUUUGGGUGUUCCAGUUAGUCCUCUAGGCAAAAUGUCAAACUGAUUAAUUUAUUUGUUAUUCUUCAGUCCUUUAAGCGCUUCUGGAAAGGGCUUUUUCACUUAAGCCGUUUUUCUC